rnacentral:pre_miRNA from 1 species
AAAGUACUCCCUCCGUCCCAAAAUUCUUGUCUUAGAUUUGUCUAGAUACGGAUGUAUCAAGUCACAUUUUAGUAUUAGAUACAUUUGUAUCUAGACAAAUCUAAGACAAGAAAUUUGGAACAGAGGGAGUAGUUG